rnacentral:rRNA from 1 species
CCUACGGGAGGCAGCAGUAGGGAAUAUUGCUCAAUGGGGGAAACCCUGACGCAGCAACGCCGCGUGGAGGAUGAAGGUUUUCGGAUUGUAAACUCUUUUUGUUGGAGAAGAUAUUGACGGUAUCUAACGAAUAAGCACCGGCUAACUCCGUGCCAGCAGCCGCGGUAAUACGGGGGGUGCAAGCGUUACUCGGAAUCACUGGGCGUAAAGAGCGCGUAGGCGGGAUAGUAAGUCAGAUGUGAAAUCCUAUGGCUUAACCACAGAACUGCAUUUGAAACUGUUAUUCUAGAGUAUGGGAGAGGUAGGUGGAAUUCUUGGUGUAGGGGUAAAAUGCGUAGAGAUCAAGAGGAAUACUCAUUGCGAAGGCGAUUUGCUAGAACAUAACUGACGCUGAUGCGCGAAAGCGUGGGGAGCAAACGGGAUUAGAUACCCGAGUAGUC